UAUCCUUAAAAAUUCAAUAUAUGCCCCAGAAGUUACAUUAUCAGCAGACAACUUUACAAUUAAUUCGUGACAAUUAAAUGAAUUAUGUUCCCAUCUAAAAAAUUCGAAACCUUGACUACUUGGUAAAUAAAUUUCAUCGGUAACUACCAACACAUAGGGCUUGGCCUAACAAAAAUUGACCAACCCAAACCCGAUUCUGGUCCCGGAAUUGGAUAUAAUAAAAUUAUCCAAACCCUGACCCUCUUAGAAGUUCCACAAGAACGGGUCCUGGACUAUCAUCCCGUCCACGUUCUCUUCUCCGUCAUCGAAACUAGGAAGCCCCGGCAAGAAGAAAUCGCGGCUGAAAUCGUCGAAACUCGGAAAAUCGGAGAACUCGGGGGCGAAACUGCCCGAACCGAGAUCCGAAAACGGGUCGCGAAAUGACCCGUUUUGGAAUAUGGGGUCGUUCUGAACCGACACGUCGGAGAGAGGAGGAGACGACGACUCCAACCUGAACGACGCCGUUUCCUCGUCCGAAGCUAAAGACUCCACGUGUUGCUGACCGGAACACUCUUUUUGGGGCUCCGAAUUGGCGAAACUAGCCGCGGCUAUCUGAAUCUGAGGGGGGGUCAUGGUCCUCCCCCCGGCGAUGUUGGGCGGGUCAUUCGGGAAGUUAAAUUUGGCGCCGCUGCCACGUAAGCAGAACAUGGCCGCGUCGAAAGCGCGCGCCGCCUUCUCGGCGCUGUCGUAGGAACCCAACCAAAUCCUUUGGCGGCUGUUGGGAAGCCUAAUUUCCGACACGUACUUGCCCCACUUCCUCUUCCGUACUCCCCUGUACGACAAAUGGAAGCUUUGUCUUUGGCUUGUGCUGAGAAUCUGUGUCGUAUGCGUUUUCUGAGGGUGGAGUUUGUUUGCGGCUCUUUAUAUAUGUGCAGAAGCGAGUGAAGUUGUUUGACUCACUGUGAUGUAAGACUUCAAAGGCGCGUGUGGGGCUUAGAAAGUGCAUGCUGUUGUACACAUGGACAUUUGUGACGAGAGCAGUGAUGGUUUGCAUCUACGCGUCGAGACAGUCCCUGGAGGAAACAUCGUGGACCACCACCACGUUCGUUUUUUGUUCCACGUGAAUCUAGA
rnacentral:sRNA from 1 species